rnacentral:misc_RNA from 1 species
GUGACAUGCUAGCAUACACCUGCACCAUUUACAUUCAACUAAAAUCAUAUCAACACUGAAAUGCAUUGGCUUGACAUAAGGGAAUUAAAUAUUUCAAAGUUAUCAAUUGAUGAUGAAACUCGGUUAUCCAACAAUGACAAGCAUAGGAAAAAAAAAAAUCAGUUACAGAACAUGUAACCUACAAAUAAAAUGGAAUCUAUAAGGCUCAAAAGAAUAUGCCAUGUCAGAUUUGCAACUUUUAUUAUUGAAUAUUUGAAGUAUCCAAGAAUUGGUAAUAUUGCUAUCUAUACCAAAAAGAGCAGCAAAUGCGAUUAGAGGAGAGAAUAAAGACAUGCCGUGGAAAAUUAAUUAUAUUCAGGGUGCCAGAAAAGAGCCAAGUUCUAGUGAUGAUCUAAGCUGCUGUAUGAGAUCACGUAUAUUUCCUUAUCAUAGAGUACCAAAAAAUUAAAAGACUUAAGAUGGCCAUGGCGAAUUUAGAAAAAACCAAAAAAAUUUAUGGGGUCAACAUAUAAAAAAUUUU